CCUGCCGUCUACUCUUGGCCAGCCUUCUGAAAGGAAGAUUAAUCCAGGAUGGGAUCAUGAGUUCACAUGUCCGCAUGAUUAAAGGUAUUUUCCGGUAGACGAUGGGGAUGCGUUCCAUUAGAUAGUAGGCGGGGUAACGGCCCACCUAGUCAACGAUGGAUAGGGGUUCUGAGAGGAAGGUCCCCCACAUUGGAACUGAGACACGGUCCAAACUCCUACGGGAGGCAGCAGUGAGGAAUAUUGGUCAAUGGGCGAUGGCCUGAACCAGCCAAGUAGCGUGAAGGAUGACUGCCCUAUGGGUUGUAAACUUCUUUUAUAAAGGAAUAAAGUCGGGUAUGCAUACCCGUUUGCAUGUACUUUAUGAAUAAGGAUCGGCUAACUCCGUGCCAGCAGCCGCGGUAAUACGGAGGAUCCGAGCGUUAUCCGGAUUUAUUGGGUUUAAAGGGAGCGUAGAUGGAUGUUUAAGUCAGUUGUGAAAGUUUGCGGCUCAACCGUAAAAUUGCAGUUGAUACUGGAUGUCUUGAGUGCAGUUGAGGCAGACGGAAUUCGUGGUGUAGCGGUGAAAUGCUUAGAUAUCACGAAGAACUCCGAUUGCGAAGGCAGCCUGCUAAGCUGCAACUGACAUUGAGGCUCGAAAGUGUGGGUAUCAAACAGGAUUAGAUACCCUGGUAGUCCACACGGUAAACGAUGAAUACUCGCUGUUUGCGAUAUACGGCAAGCGGCCAAGCGAAAGCGUUAAGUAUUCCA
rnacentral:rRNA from 1 species